rnacentral:lncRNA from 1 species
UAAAGAACAAUAAUUUCAAUAUAAUCCAAUAAUAAAAGACAUACAAAUUAAACUAAAAUGAUUAUCAUUCAUAUAUAUCAAAAUAAUAACAUCGAUCAACAUAACGUUGUCCUGAUAUUGUCAAUCAUUCACAAUCAAACUAACAUCUUCAAAAUGAAAUAGACCAUGCAUCUUCAAAAUGAAACUAACAUCUUAAAUGUAUAUCCAAAUGUGCAUUCACCAUAUAUCAAACUAACAUGAAAUGCAUAUCACAAUUAUGUGCAUUCACCAUCAAACUAACAUCAUCAAAAUGUAUAUCCUAUUAAAAAAACAUAAACAUCUAGCUCUCUUCUUCUUCUUCUUCUUCAUGAUNNNNN